rnacentral:rRNA from 1 species
UGGGGAAUAUUGCGCAAUGGGGGAAACCCUGACGCAGCCAUGCCGCGUGAGUGAAGAAGGUCUUCGGAUCGUAAAGCUCUUUCAACGGUGAAGAUGAUGACGGUAGCCGUAGAAGAAGCCCCGGCUAACUUCGUGCCAGCAGCCGCGGUAAUACGAAGGGGGCAAGCGUUGUUCGGAAUUACUGGGCGUAAAGGGCGUGUAGGCGGUCUAAUCAGUCAGUGGUGAAAGCCCUGGGCUCAACCCAGGAAUUGCCUUUGAUACUGUUAGACUAGAGUUCGGGGAGAGGAUAGUGGAAUUCCCCAGUGUAGAGGUGAAAUUCGUAGAUAUUGGGAAGAACACCAGUGGCGAAGGCGGCUAUCUGGACCGAUACUGACGCUGAGGCGCGAAAGCGUGGGGAGCAAACAGGAUUAGAUACCCUGGUAGUCCACGCCGUAAACGAUGUCUGCUAGUCGUUGGGGGGCCGUAGCCCUUCAGUGGACGCCGCUAACGCAUUAAGCAGACCGCCU